rnacentral:rRNA from 1 species
AAGUCGUAACAAGGUUUCCGUAGGUGAACCUGCGGAAGGAUCAUUAACGAGUAAAGUCCUUCGGGACUUUCUUAUCCAAACACCUGUGAAAAUUAAUUUUUGCUUUGGGAAUUUAAUUAUUCCCAACAAUCAAAACCACUAAGUUGUCUUUUGUCUGAAUGAUUAUUUAAAAAUCAAAACUUUCAACAACGGAUCUCUUGGUUCUCGCAUCGAUGAAGAACGCAGCGAAACGCGAUAUGUAAUGUGAAUUGCAGACUUUGUGAAUCAUCGAAUCUUUGAACGCACAUUGCGCCCUCUGGUAUUCCGGAGGGCAUACCUGUUUGAGCGUCAGUUCUCUCUCAAAAAAGAUUUUAUUUUUUUUGGUAUUGCUCGUACUUUUCUUAAGUUGAGUGAAAUGAAUUGGCAAGGCAGUUUUCUAGCUAUCAACGUAUUAGGUUUUACCAUUUCGUUGGAAGAGCAAAAAGACAAGCCGGGCGAUAUAACUGGGUUUUACCCAAAUAUUUGACCUCAAAUCAGGCAGGACUACCCGCUGAACUUAAGCAUAUCAAUAAGCGGAGGAAAAGAAACCAACAGGGAUUGCCUUAGUAACGGCGAGUGAAGCGGCAAAAGCUCAAAUUUGAAAUCUGGCAGCAAUGUCCGAGUUGUAAUUUGAAGAGAGUAACUUUGAGUUGGGUCCUUGCAUAUGUUCCUUGGAACAGGACGUCAUAGAGGGUGAGAAUCCCGUUCUGUGAGGUGACCCUUCUCUUGUAAAGUGCCCUAGAAGAGUCGAGUUGUUUGGGAAUGCAGCUCUAAGUGGGUGGUAAAUUCCAUCUAAAGCUAAAUAUUGGCGAGAGACCGAUAGCGAACAAGUACAGUGAUGGAAAGAUGAAAAGAACUUUGAAAAGAGAGUGAAAAAGUACGUGAAAUUGUUGAAAGGGAAGGGCUUGAAAUCAGACUUGGUAUUCAGUGAUCAACUUUCUUUCGGGAAUGUGCACUCGCUGUUUACUGGGCCAGUAUCGGUUUUGGCGGUGGGAUAAUGGUAUAGGAAUGUGGCUCCUCGGAGUGUUAUAGCCUAUAUUGAUACCACCAGCUGGGACCGAGGACCGCGCUUUUAGCUAGGAUACUGGCGUAAUGAUUUUAAGCCACC